UACGUAGGGCGCAAGCGUUGUCCGGAAUUAUUGGGCGUAAAGAGCUCGUAGGCGGCUUGUCGCGUCGAUUGUGAAAGCCCGGGGCUUAACCUCGGGUCUGCAGUCGAUACGGGCUGGCUAGAGUGUGGUAGGGGAGAUCGGAAUUCCUGGUGUAGCGGUGAAAUGCGCAGAUAUCAGGAGGAACACCGGUGGCGAAGGCGGAUCUCUGGGCAUCUCCUGACGCUGAGGCGCGAAAGCGUGGGGAGCAAACGGG
rnacentral:rRNA from 1 species